rnacentral:lncRNA from 1 species
GAGGCCGGGGUGUUAAUACACACACAGGUAGCGAGGAGGCCGGGGUGUUAAUACACACACAGGUAGCGAGGAGGCCGGCGUGUUAAUACACACACAGGUAGCGAGGAGGUCGGGGUGUCUGCUGCUGUUCCCAUGGCCCCGCUGUGCUGCGGAACAGUCCCUCGAGGUAACAGGUUGGCUGCCUCACACUUGAGGUUUUGUUUUUCCAGCCCUCAGGUGGAGUCUUCAUUAUUCUUCUGUAGUUGGACCUGAUCUGGCCACAGCUGGCAUCCCCAGAACGUCCCUACACCGAUUCUCCCGCUCAGGACUGGACAUGUAGCGUGUGGCACUUCCAAUCAAGGCCUCCACCAAGGCAGGUGUGACUUGCUGAAGGGCAGUUGGCUUCCCUUGAGGCUUGCAGGGCAGUGGACUGGCAUAACCAUGCCUGGUCCCCAUGAGAGCACUUCACUUCAUCUGAAUUCCUGGAAUGUGAGCUAAAAGCAGUAGGUGGGUGAGAGUUUUGUGAGGCGUUGAGGUCUGGCAGUAGGUGGUCUGUGGAAGAGAAGCGG